rnacentral:rRNA from 1 species
CCCUGCCAUUUGUACACACCGCCCGUCGCUCCUACCGAUUGAAUGAUCCGGUGAAGUCUUCGGACCGCUGCGCGCGGCUGGGCAACCGGCGGCGCGCUGGCGGAAUGUUGAUUGAACCUUAUCAUUUAGAGGAAGGAGAAGUCGUAACAA